AGGAAAGGAUGCAGGGCUUGUACGCUGAAUAGGAGACCAUAACAUCUUGCUGCAGCAGAAGAGGCGAACACCAUGCAGGUCCCUAUCGGUGCACGUAAUGAUCCUGCUUCUGACACAGAUCUUUUACCACACAGGAAGCCUGUGAGAAAGUGUCUAUAUUUCUGAGUGAGUGAUUCCAUUUCUUGGACAAAGGCAACAAAGAACACUCACUUUACCUUGGAAAGCACCGCAGAGGGAGACUGGAAUUCAGAUCUGUAUUACCUCAUGGACAGGUUAGGCAUGAACAGUCUAUUCAUUGAACCAAAUAAAAACUCCUGGUAAACUCCAACCAGGAUCAGGGGAAUAGAGAUGUUCCACAGUGCGAUCACAGUAGAGUUGGUAUUUAUCAAACCAUUUUAACCGGCCAAAUUCCCAGGUAUUUGGGAGAAAACUAGGCUGGUUUUAAGACAGGCUCCCCUCCUCCUGGUGCCAUCCCAGCUGCAA